CCCUUAGAUGCCCUGGGCCGCACGCGCGUUACACUGAUACAUUCAACGAGCUUAUAACCUUGGCCGAGAGGCCUGGGCAAUCUUGUUAACGUGCAUCGUGAUAGGGAUAGAUUAUUGAAAUUAUUAAUCUUGAACGAGGAAUUCCUAGUAAACGCAGAUCAUCAAUCUGCAUUGAUUACGUCCCUGCCCUUUGUACACACCGCCCGUCGCACCUACCGAUUGGAUGGUCCGGUGAAGCCUCGGGAUUGUGGUUCUUGCCGCUUUAUUGUGGCGUGACCGCGAGAACUUGUCUAAACCUUAUCAUCUAGAGGAAGGUGAAGUCGUAACA
rnacentral:rRNA from 1 species